rnacentral:rRNA from 1 species
UGCAGUCGAGCGGACAGAUGGGAGCUUGCUCCCUGAUGUUAGCGGCGGACGGGUGAGUAACACGUGGGUAACCUGCCUGUAAGACUGGGAUAACUCCGGGAAACCGGGGCUAAUACCGGAUGGUUGUUUGAACCGCAUGGUUCAGACAUAAAAGGUGGCUUCGGCUACCACUUACAGAUGGACCCGCGGCGCAUUAGCUAGUUGGUGAGGUAACGGCUCACCAAGGCGACGAUGCGUAGCCGACCUGAGAGGGUGAUCGGCCACACUGGGACUGAGACACGGCCCAGACUCCUACGGGAGGCAGCAGUAGGGAAUCUUCCGCAAUGGACGAAAGUCUGACGGAGCAACGCCGCGUGAGUGAUGAAGGUUUUCGGAUCGUAAAGCUCUGUUGUUAGGGAAGAACAAGUGCCGUUCAAAUAGGGCGGCACCUUGACGGUACCUAACCAGAAAGCCACGGCUAACUACGUGCCAGCAGCCGCGGUAAUACGUAGGUGGCAAGCGUUGUCCGGAAUUAUUGGGCGUAAAGGGCUCGCAGGCGGUUUCUUAAGUCUGAUGUGAAAGCCCCCGGCUCAACCGGGGAGGGUCAUUGGAAACUGGGGAACUUGAGUGCAGAAGAGGAGAGUGGAAUUCCACGUGUAGCGGUGAAAUGCGUAGAGAUGUGGAGGAACACCAGUGGCGAAGGCGACUCUCUGGUCUGUAACUGACGCUGAGGAGCGAA